UGAUAGGUUAAGAGCUAAUUAACUGGACGUCACCCACAGAACGAAGCACCUGGCUAACUCCGUGCCAGCAGCCGCGGUAAUACGGAGGGUGCGAGCGUUAAUCGGAAUUACUGGGCGUAAAGGGUGCGUAGGUGGUUGAUUAAGUUAUCUGUGAAAUUCCUGGGCUUAACCUGGGACGGUCAGAUAAUACUGGUUGACUCGAGUAUGGGAGAGGGUAGUGGAAUUUCCGGUGUAGCGGUGAAAUGCGUAGAGAUCGGAAGGAACACCAGUGGCGAAGGCGGCUACCUGGCCUAAUACUGACACUGAGGCACGAAAGCGUGGGGAGCAAACAGGAUUAGAUACCCUGGUAGUCCACGCUGUAAACGAUGUCAAACUAGCUGUUGGUUAUAUGAAAAUAAUUAGUGGCGCAGCAAACGCGAUAAGUGACAUCGUACAG
rnacentral:rRNA from 1 species